CUGGGAGUGGUAGUUCGGCCUCUCGGCAGGCCGGCGCGAGGUGUCCCUGCAGACUGUUAGAUGCCUUUGUCGUCUGGCUUGGCUUCCUCCGUGUCUGGCUGGAGGUCGGACCCAGGAUCGAGGAGGACUGAGCGCAUCCUCUUCUAAGGGCCCGGGAGGGUGGCGGGAAGAACCCCCGGGUGCGGGCGCCGGGCUGCUCGGCGAGGGUCGCGCUUGCGUUCCGGGCCUCUGGGGGGACCCGAGCGACUGACCCCCGGCCCGUUCCCCAGCGCCAGUUGCCCCCACCGCGGGCCCCGAGGAAGGAGUCGUCAUGGAGCCUGGGGGCAGAGGAUCACUUUUUGCUGACUCAGACCUUCUCCAUGCUGGAAACCCAAAAGAAAAUGGCAUGACUGCUGUGCUGCUGACCUCUGGGUCCCAAGAACUGAUGGUCAGGGAUAUGGCCGAGGCUUUCACCCAGUGGAGGCAGCUGAACUCUCCUCAGGGAGAUGUGCCUGAGAAGCCUAGGAAUCUGGUCUUGCUGGGGCUUCCAAUUUCCACACCUGAUGUCAUCUCUCAGUUGGAGCAUGAGGAGGAGCUGGAGAGAGAAGUCUCAAAAGCAGCCAGUCCAGACUGGGAAAUGAUACCAGAAAGCAAGGAGCUAACUCCAGAGAAGGAGAUUUCUGAAGAAGAAUCAGCCCCUGGGGUGUUAAUCAUAAGAUUUUCAAAGGAAGGUUCCAGUGAAUGUGAGGAUUCUUUAAAGAGUCAGCAGGAAAACCAUGAGAAACAUUUAAUACAAGAGGCUAUCACUCAGAAAUCUUCUAGAGGGAGAAGUUACCAAUUUGAUGAAUUUAGAAGAAAUUGCACUCGGAGGUCCUUACUUGUUCAGCAGCAAGGAAAGAGACUACAUCAUUGUGAUUCAUUUAAAAAUAACUUAAAACAAAACUCAGAUAUAAUUAGGCAUGAGAGAAUUUGUGCAGGAAAGAAACCUUGGAAAUGUAAUGAGUGUGAGAAAGCCUUCAGUUACUACUCAGCUUUUGUCUUGCAUCAGAGAAUUCAUACCGGAGAAAAACCCUAUGAAUGUAAUGAAUGUGGUAAAACCUUUAGCCAGAGCAUACACCUUACUCUGCACCAGAGAAUUCAUACUGGAGAGAAACCCUAUGAAUGUCAUGAAUGUGGGAAAGCCUUUAGUCAUCGCUCAGCCCUUAUUCGGCAUCAUAUAAUUCAUACUGGAGAAAAACCCUAUGAAUGCAAUGAAUGUGGGAAGGCCUUUAAUCAGAGUUCAUACCUCACUCAACAUCAGCGAAUUCAUACUGGAGAGAAACCUUAUGAGUGUAAUGAAUGUGGGAAGGCUUUUAGCCAAAGCACAUUUCUUACCCAGCAUCAGGUCAUUCACACUGGAGAGAAACCUUAUAAGUGUAAUGAAUGUGGCAAAGCCUUUAGUGAUCGGUCAGGUCUUAUUCAGCACCAGAGAACUCAUACUGGGGAGCGGCCCUAUGAAUGUAACGAAUGUGGGAAAGCCUUUGGCUACUGCUCAGCCCUAACUCAGCACCAGAGAACUCACACUGGGGAGAAACCAUAUAAAUGCAAUGAUUGUGCCAAAGCCUUCAGUGACCGCUCAGCCCUUAUUCGUCAUCAGAGAACACACACUGGAGAGAAACCUUACAAAUGUAAAGAUUGUGGAAAAGCAUUCAGCCAGAGCUCAUCUCUUACAAAGCAUCAGAAAACUCACACUGGAGAAAAGCCCUACAAGUGUAAGGAAUGUGGAAAAGCCUUCAGCCAGAGUUCAUCCCUCUCUCAACAUCAGAAAACUCAUGCUGGAGGGAAAACCAAGGAAUAUGUCCAAGCUUUUAGUGAGCAUUUAGCCUUUGGCCAACUCAAGAGAAUUCAUACUGGAUAAAGACCAUGUAAAUGUGGUUUACAUUCAGAGCAUACUUUUUGAGCAUUUACUGUACUUGCUGUGGGAGUCUACAAAGAAAUUCAAGUCUGUGUUGCAAAAAAAAAUAUUGACAAAUCAUUGCUGAUGUGGGAUGUAGCAUAAUUAGACUGUGAAAGUAUAGUUUUAUAUUUUUAAAAGUGUUCUGGCAGAGGACACUGAAUUUCCCUCAGGAAAGAGAAAAAUUAUGUGUAACAUCCUAAUGUGUAUGUAAAUUACCAUAGCUUUGGGAGAGAAAUGGGGUGUGGCAUGGUGGAAAGGGGACAUCUUGACUGUGCCAGGUGUUUUCAUAAUACUAAGAAUAUAAGUUUUAAAGAGAUAAGUGAUCUUUUUAGAGAAGUUGCACAGGUAGAAAUAAGAGAUUGAGAAUUCACAAUGAGUUUGUCCAGAGUCAGGAGUGGUGGAAGAAGGGAAGUUGUCCUUCAUUCUUAAGGAGCCAAAGGAAGUAGAGGGAAAGGAUAGAAAAAAAGACCUGGGGGAACGAACUCAAGAAAUGUUGACUAUGAUAACUACUUAACUGAAUAUUCACAGCCAUGAAAAAUAUUAGACUUGCUAAUUGGUCAGCUGAAAAGUUUCUGUGAGGGUAACUUUACCCUGCAGCUAAGGAAUGUUGGCUGCAGGAUAAUGCAGGGUGUUUGCUUCUGCCCUUUUUGUCUUUCAGACCUUGCUUAUUGAGACGUCACCUACUAUAAAUCAUGUUAAUUCCAAGGGUCAAGACCCACAGCAUAGAAUAUUGAGUACAGAAGAGACCUUUGAUGUGUUCAAACUGUUUUAAGCUCCUGGUCCUCUUCCAUCGUGGGGGCAGUUUCCGGAUCCUCACAUCGUGCUAGUGGAUUGGAGGCUCUUCGCCAUAACUUGAGGCAUGGAGGUGAAGCAGGAAGCUACAUACGUUUUUCAUUGAAACUUUAAAGAUUAUUGGACACAUUAUUUUGAGUGUUUUUAAUAUUGAGGAAGUUUUACUAUAAUGUAUCUUGGUGUGGAUUUCUUUUAGUUUACCCUAUUUGGGGUUUGCUUAGCUUCUUCAAUCUACAGGCUAUGUCUUUUGCCAAAUUUGGGAGAUUUUCAGCCAUCAUCUCUUUAAAUACAUUUUACAUUUUAGCCCCCACCUUCUACUCCUUUUCUCCUGGGACUCUAAUGAAAGGCUGUUUGGUUGUAGUCUCACAAGUUCUUGAGGCUCUGUUCAUUUUUUCUUGAUGAUUUUUGCCUGAAUCUGCUCAAUCUGCUUUAACAAGAUAACAUAGACUGACUGGGUGACUCAAAAAAAUACCUAUUUCUAACAGUUCUGGAGGCUGGGAAGUCCAAGAUCAAGGUGCCUGCGGACUCUGCUUCUAGUGAGGGAUCUCUUCCUGGCUUACAGAUGGCAGCCUUCUCGUUGUGUCCUCCCAUGUCUGUAGUGCAUGCAGAUGGGGGGCCAAUGGGGAGAGGAAGAGAGAAAUAGUCCACCAGUUAUCAGUCCACCAGUUCUAGCAGAUUAGGACUCUUCCCUUAUUAUCUCAUUUAACCCCAAUUGCCACCUAAAAACCCUGUCUCCAAUAAAUUAUAUUGGGGAUUAGGGCUUCAACAUAAUUUUGGGAAGGAGGGGAUACAUCUAAUUAAUAAUAUUCCAUCACAGCCUCCCCCCCUCACCAAAUUUAUGUUCUUGAAUGCAGAAUAUAUUUAUUCCACUCCAACAGCCCCUAAAACCUUGACUCAUUCUAGCAUUAGCUGUAAAAUCCAGACCUUCAAGUAAAUAUCACCUAAAUCAGAUAUGGGUAAGAGUCAAGGUACUCUUACCUGAGUAAGAGUACCUCUUUAUCCUGAGGCAAAAUUACUCCCCAGCUGUGAACCCAUGAAACCAAAGAAGUUACAUGCUUCCAAAAUACAUUUGUGAUCUAGACGUAAUGUAGGCAUUCCCAUUCCACAGGGGGAGAAAUAGGAAAGUAGGAGGAGGAGUGGUUCCUGAGCAAGUCCAGAACUUAGUAAGGCAAAUUCUUCAGAGGUUACAUUUCAUCAGAUCUUGUGAUAAUAACUCUCUUUUACUCAAUGCCCUGCCUUCUGGACCCACUGGAGUAGUGGUCCUAUCUCUGUGGUACUGCCAGGUGGCCCCUCUCCUAAGCCUCUGCAGGGCAAUUCUUCCUCUAAGUCUUCAGCUGGAGCCUUUCUGUCCUGUUGAAAACCAAAGUGAUGGUUCCACCCUUUGAAACAGGAAGUAUUCCCAGUGGUCUCUGAAUUGUUUUCAGUGUCAUUCUCUUGAAGAAUAACACAUUCAUAGAAAAAUGGCUCUCUAGUCUGGUUCUAUAUGACCUAAGAAGCCCUAAAGCCUACCUUCAUUUUAUUUUGUUGUUUUCCUCUCCCCUUUAGUACUAGCUGGCUGUGUCUCUGCUGGUAUAAUCCCAUUUAUGUUCCUGGCUUCUGAUGGGGCUGCUAAACCCAUGAGUCACAUUCAUGAUCUCUUUAUCAAAUGGUUGUUCAACCACACCCUUAGGGUAAAAGUGGAGGAUGGAGGACCCUUGUUACAGCCUGGUGAGGGUGGAAACAUAGGCCUUUGUUGGUGUGGAUAGGACCAUAGCUUUCUUCUGUGGUCUUUGAAGUAGGAUUGUGACUUUCUGUCUUGCUAGGCUGCUCCCUUCCCAGUCCUUUGGCUAAAAAAACCAGACUUGUCUUGGCCUUUUUUUCUCCCUUGUUGGUGUCUGUUGGCAUUUCCAGGUUGUCAGCUUCUCUGUCAGAACCCAGUCUGGGAUAGAUUAGGCAAAAAGAAAACCCAAGAAAGUCACUGCUGUAUUCUUCCUUGAGUUCUGAGGUCCCUAGUCACUCCAUUCUCUCUCCAUCUUUUAGAACCUUUUUAUGUUUGCUUUGUAUAUAAUAUCCAGGAUUUUUAGCUCUACUUAGUGAGAGCAAUAGGAUAAGGUAGUACUCCACCUUUCCUGUGACACUUUUGUGCUUGACACUGAAAUCACACAUCAAGUUGUGGUAUAUAUAGGGUUUUUGGUACAUAACCUAAGAGUUUGUGGUAUAUGCAAGUCAUUUGUAACCAGUUAGGAAUAGGUACUAAAAGGAAUGCUCACUGGUUUCCUGAAGAUAAGCUUCUAAUUUGAUAGGUAGAAACUAUUGGCCUGCUUCAUCUAGCUUUGAAGGAACUAUAGUUUUUAAAUUGAGGAAACACCAGCAUUUAAUUGUAGGUUAUAAACUUGAGAAGGAUAGAUAUGACUAACAAUAUAAACCGUAGGGUUAAAUUUUUUUAAUUUGUAUUUUUGUUCAAAAAAUGUAUGAGAAGCACUGGAGAACUGGACUUAGAAUUUUGGAUAUUUUUUCCAGUUAUAUAUUACCUACAUGUGGUUCUCUGUUCACUUUAAUUUGCCAUAUGACAUAUGAUAUAGAGAAUCAACAAAGAAUGAAAAUAAUUGGGAUUUGGGACAAGUCACUUUCAUCCUUUGAAAUCUGUUUCCUCAUAGAUAUAUGUUUUAAAAUUUAAUGCCUAUUUGAGAAUGACUAGAGUUAGGUAGAAAAUGGAUGCAAUGUGAUUUGUGAGCUAUCAGGUGCUAUAUAACUAGUAGGUACUAUUGAUAGAGUCAUUUAGAAGAGGACAUGUCUGUCAUGUAUGCUCCACAGCGGUGUAGCCGAAUAGAAACAACUGUGAAUAUGAUGGAAUGAGGCUUUUUAUAUUUUUAAAUAAGUUUUCUGGGAUCCUGGUAAAAUCUGUAUCUUUUGAGCUAAUCGUGUGGUUUCUUUUAAUCUAUUAAUGUGGUAAAGUACAUUGAUUUUCUGAUGUUAAAGAAUCCUUGCAUUCCUGGGAUUUACCCAAUUUGGUGAUUUUUUUUCCCCCAUCUCUGGGGGAGUUUGUGUCCCUUGAAUUUCUGCUGUAUUCAUCGUUAAACUGGGAUUAUUAUGUUUGUAAUAUGUGGUUUGAGUGGUUUUAGGGGCUAUUUAGAUUUACGGUUUCUUCUAGAAAAUUGUAGGUUUUUCUAAAAAUGUAUCCUUUUUGGUUAUCGAAAUGUUUAAAACAUUUUUAUUUUCAAGUACUUGUUCUAUCUGAACUUAUGUCCCUUUUUUCUUUCCUGAUAUGGCUUAUUUGUAGCCUCGCAUUUUCCCUUGAUCAUGUUUCUAGAGAUUUGUCUAUUUUACUAGUCUUUUAAAAUAACUUUUUGAACUUUUGCAAAAUCAGCUUUUAUCAAAGUAUGCAAUAAAAUUCACCCACUUAAAGGUGUUUGCCAUGUUUGACGAAGAUAUUACCCUUGUAACUACCACCGUAAUUGUGUGCGGUUAUAAUAGUUCCUCCUUCUCCUCCUCCUCCCCUCUCUCCUCCUCCUAUGCAUCUUCCUCCUCCUUCACCCCUUUCUCUUUAUUUCUCCCUUUCUCCUUUCUUCCUUCCACAGUUCUGUCUUAAAACGACCUAUGUAGACUUGUGUAAAAAUCACCACAACGGGUACAGAACAAUUCCACUGCACCAACAAAUUCCCCUUGUGCUUUUUUUCAUGACUGGCUCCCCACCUCGCAUUGAGUAAAAGGCUUUGAUAUUCAUCAUUGUUGUGUUAUUUAUUCCUUUUUAUUGAUGAGUGGUUUUCCUUGUAAUGUACCACAGUAUUCUUAACCAUUAACCCAUUGAAGGACAUUUAGGUUGUUUAUAAUUUUUGUCGAUUAUGAAUAAAACUACUACAAUCAUU